rnacentral:misc_RNA from 1 species
GAUGAAGAACGUAGCGAAAUGCGAUAAGUAAUGCGAAUUGCAGAAUUUCCGUGAGUCAUCGAAUCUUUGAACGCACAUUGCGCCCGCGAGUAUUCUCGCGGGCAUGCCUGUCCGAGCGUCAUUUCAACCCUCAGGGCCCGCCUGCUUCGGCAGGCGCGGCGCUGGUGUUGGGGAUCGGCCUAACCGCCGUCCCCCAAAUACAGUGGCGGUCUCGCUGCAGCCUCCCCUGCGUAGUAGCAACACUCGCAUGCGGAGCGCGGCGCGGCCACGCCGUAAAACCCCCGACUUUCUGAACGUUGACCUCGGAUCAGGUAGGAAUACCCGCUGAACUUAAGCAUAUCAAUAAGCGGAGGA